CUGGCCUCCUCACUGCCCUGAGGUAACCUUUACCCUGUUUCCAGGACUUGCUCUGUCCCCUGGGGCAGGGCUGUUCCUUGCUUGCGGAACAAGGGAGUCACCUCCUCCAGCCCAUGGUUCUAGAAGGAGCCAACCUGGGGCGUGCACCCCGGCCCACUCUACAUGGGCCUUGGAAGGCAGCUGGCAUAUGUCCUCCUCGUAAGGGACAAAGAUCCUGGUACCUUUGGAGUCUUCCAGCACAAUAGAGUCUCCUGGACGCUCCAUCCAUCUCUAUACAUACAUCUUCAGAAAACUCUGCUUUUGCCUCCUGCUGGCUCACAUCUGAUUCCCAUCCUUCAUCCUUCAAGCCAAGGACCCUCUUGCUGUUCCUGUGCAACCCUUCUGGGUCCUGGGACCCAGCCCGAGCCUGCCUCCAGGAGGAACCGUGAGGGAGGGAUGGAUGAAGGAGGAAGGCACCAGAGGCUGCCUAGUGCCGGCUGGAGGUGUUUCUGGAGCUUGUACGGCUGCCGCCACCCAGCACCGAAAUGGAUCUUGCCUUGUCCCUGCACCCCCACGUUGGUAACGUCCAGUGGGUUGGGACCCCGAUGGGCAGAGCCUGCAUCCCUGCCUGAGCUGCAAGAGAGUCUGAGAAGGAACUCAAGCUGGUGCCCAAGGAAGAUGUGCCGUGUAAGCAUCUCCAUCACCCCCGGCCCUUGUGCUUGAGGAAAUGCAGGGCCCUGGGCUAAUUACAGAGUGACAUUCAGAUGGAAUCUUGUGCCCAAAAUAUGAGAAAGCUUGAUUGUACAGUGUGUCGUCUGUUCCAUUUUUGUGUGGCUGAAGUCAGAACACACGUUCUAGGGGCCCUAGACUCCUGCAGGCCUGAGCGAGCCUGAGCAUAAGUCAGCAGCUUGGAAGGAGAUACGGGGAUUUAAGCAUGUAGUGAAUAUGCAAGCUAUAGAGUGGACAAUAAAACCAUGGAAACUGGAUUUUAGUAUCUACAAAACCUGACGGGUUUGAAGGUCAAGUGUCCACAGAGAAUUCGUAGCUCCAAGACACUUCAUGGCACAGGGAUGCGGAGAGAUUGCUAAUUGUGUGCUGCAAAAUCAUAAAGGUAAUAUUAAUGAGA